rnacentral:rRNA from 1 species
UGGGGAAUAUUUGACAAUGGGCGCAAGCCUGAUCCAGCCAUGCCGCGUGAGUGAUGAAGGCCCUAGGGUUGUAAAGCUCUUUCACCGGUGAAGAUAAUGACGGUAACCGGAGAAGAAGCCCCGGCUAACUUCGUGCCAGCAGCCGCGGUAAUACGAAGGGGGCUAGCGUUGUUCGGAUUUACUGGGCGUAAAGCGCACGUAGGCGGACUUUUAAGUCAGGGGUGAAAUCCCGGGGCUCAACCCCGGAACUGCCUUUGAUACUGGAAGUCUUGAGUAUGGUAGAGGUGAGUGGAAUUCCGAGUGUAGAGAUGAAAUUCGUAGAUAUUCGGAGGAACACCAGUGGCGAAGGCGGCUCACUGGACCAUUACUGACGCUGAGGUGCGAAAGCGUGGGGAGCAAACAGG